rnacentral:rRNA from 1 species
GACGAACGCUGGCGGCGUGCUUAACACAUGCAAGUCGAACGGAAAGGCCCUGCUUUUGUGGGGUGCUCGAGUGGCGAACGGGUGAGUAACACGUGAGUAACCUGCCCUUGACUUUGGGAUAACUUCAGGAAACUGGGGCUAAUACCGGAUAGGAGCUCCUGCUGCAUGGUGGGGGUUGGAACGUUUCGGCGGUUGGGGAUGGACUCGCGGCUUAUCAGCUUGUUGGUGGGGUAGUGGCUUACCAGGGCUUUGGAGGUUAGCCGGCCUGAGAGGGUGACCGGCCACAUUGGGACUGAGAUACGGCCCAGACUCCAACGGGAGGCAGCAGGGGGGAAUAUUGCCCAAUGGGCGGAAGCCUGAUGCAGCAACGCCGCGUGCGGGAUGACGGCCUUCGGGUGGUAAACCGCUUUCGCCUGUGACGAAGCGUGAGUGACGGUAAUGGGUAAAGAAGCACCGGCUAACUACGUG